rnacentral:rRNA from 1 species
UAAAAUAAUUAAGGGCACACAAAGGAUGCCUAGGUAGUAAGAGCCGAUGAAGGACGUGGUAAGCUGCGAUAAGCCUAGAUAAGUUGCAAUCGAACGUAAGAGUCUAGGAUUUCCGAAUGGAGCAAUCUAUUAAGAUGGAGUCUUAAUACGAAAGAGGGAACCGCGUGAACUGAAACAUCUAAGUAACGCGAGGAAAAGAAAGUAAAAACGAUACCCAAAGUAGCGGCGAGCGAAAUGGGUCAAGCCUAAACCUUAAAUAUGUCAAGGAUACAGCCGUUGUAUUUAGGGGGUUGAGGGACAGAGUAGUGAAGAACUGUAAGAUAUUCAAUAUAGUGUAUUGAUGAAUUGGAAUUGUCUGGAAAGGCGAACCGUAGAAGGUGAAAGUCCUGUACAAGUAAAUCCUUACACAUAUAACUCUGCUCCCAAGUAACAUGGAACACGAGGAAUUCUGUGUGAAUCUGUGAGGACCAUAUCUCAUAAGGCUAAAUACUCUUACUAACCGAUAGCGCAUAGUACCGUGAGGGAAAGGUGAAAAGAACCCCUGGAGGGGAGUGAAAUAGAACCUGAAAUUGUGUGCUUACAAGCGGUCAGAGCCAGCAAUGGUGAUGGCGUGCCUUUUGGAGAAUGAUCCUGCGAGUUACGUUAAACGGCGAGGUUAAGUAUAACGGAGCCGAAGGGAAACCAAGUCUUAAUAGGGCGAUUUAGUCGUUUGGCGUAGACGCGAAACCUGGUGAUCUAAACCUGUCCAGGAUGAAGCUGUGGUAAGACACAGUGGAGGUCCUAACCCACCGCCGUUGAAAAGUUGGGGGAUGAGGUAGGUUUAGGGGUGAAAAGCCAAUCGAACCAGGAGAUAGCUCGUUCUCUCCGAAAUGUAUCUAGGUACAGCCUUGAGUGUUCAAUUAUGGGGGUAGAGCACUGAAUGAUCUAGGGGGCGUAUUGCUUACUGAAAUCAAUCAAACUCCGAAUACCAUAAUUUAGAGCUCAGGAGUGAGACUAUGGGAGUUAACUUCCAUUGUCGAAAGGGAAACAACCCAGACCACCAGCUAAGGUCCCUAAUUAUAACUAAGUGGGAAAGGAGGUGGAGAUUCACAAACAACUAGGAGGUUGGCUUAGAAGCAGCCAUACCUUUAAAGAGUGCGUAAUAGCUCACUAGUCGAGAGUCUCUGCGCCGACAAUGUAACGGGGCUAAGUUAUAAACCGAAGCUGUGGAAUCCGUAAGGAUUGGUAGGAGAGCGUUCUGUAGGCCGUUGAAGGAGAAGGGUAACCGACUCUGGAGGUAUCAGAAGUGAGAAUGCAGGAAUAAGUAGCGAGAAAGGGGGCGAGAAUCCCCCUCGCCGGAAGACCAAGGUUUUCAGGGUAAAGCUUGUCUUCCCUGAGUAAGCCGGGACCUAAGCCCAGGCUAUAAUGCGUAGGCGAAUGGAAAACAGAUUAAUAUUUCUGUGCCAGUCAUAUAUUGUGAUGGAGGGACGCAGAAGGGUAUGCGCGCGGACGAACGGAAGUGUCCGUAGAAGUAUGUAGGAUGACUUGAUAGGAAAAUCCAUUGAGUUAUAUCUGAGGUAUGAUAUACAGUCGUAAGAUGAAUGCGCAAAUCCCACGCUGCCAAGAAAAGCUUCUAACGUUAAUAUUUGACUGCCCGUACUGCAAACCGACACAGGUGGUCAGGAUGAGAAAUCUAAGGCGGACAGGCUAACUCUCGUUAAGGAACUCUGCAAAAUAACCUCGUAACUUCGGGAGAAGAGGAGCCCUUGAGGGUCAGUAUCCACGCGAUACAAAGCGCUCGAGGGUCGCAGUGAAGAGGCUCAAGCAACUGUUUAACAAAAACACAGGUCUAUGCUAAGCUGGAAGGCGAUGUAUAUGGGCUGACACCUGCCCAGUGCUGGAAGGUUAAGAGGAGGAGUGAGAGCUCCGAAUUGAAGCCCCAGUGAACGGCGGCCGUAACUAUAACGGUCCUAAGGUAGCGAAAUUCCUUGUCGGGUAAG